ACUCAAAUGAAUUGACGGGGACUCACACAAGCGGUGGACCAUGUGGCUUAAUUCGACAACAAACGAAGAACCUUACCAGGACUAGAAACCCAGACGAAAGCCUGAUGAAAGUUAGGCCCCUCACAAGGCGGCUGGGCAGGUGCUGCAUGGUUGUCGUCAGUUCGUGUCUUGAGACGUACCGUUAAUUCGGGUAACGAACGUAACCCUUGCCCUGUGUUUUACAUGUCACAGGGGACUGCCCGAGAUAAUUGGGAGGAAGGUGAGGAUGACGCCAAAUCAGCAUGGCCCUUGAUGUCCUGGGCUGCACACGUGGUACAAUGGUAAGUACAAUGGGAAGCAAAGUCGUAAGGCGAAGCUAAUCUCAUCAAAGCUUAUCUCAGUUCGGAUUGAGGGCUGAAACUCGCCCUCAUGAAGCUGGAAUCGCUAGUAAUCGCCAAUCAGCUACGUGGCGAUGAAUACGUUCCUGAGUCUUGUACACACCGCCCGU
rnacentral:rRNA from 1 species